AAAAAAGUAUCAGACAGGCAUGCCCUAGGGGUAAGAGAAUGACUCAGUGAUCACUUUAUUUUCCUGGACUCUGGAGACUAGAUGAUAAAUUCCUUGCCAGACUGUAGGUUGGCAGCCAUUACGGCUGUAACUCCUCAAUGGUUCCAGAAUUGGGUUGGUCUGCCUCCGCAUCUGCCCAUGGGCUAAUUUCUCCCACUGCCACCUCCUCUUGAAUCCCAGGACCUUGAACUGCAGCUGGAAGCUACCCUUUUUCAAAAACAGCUUCAUCCUCAAAACUGGAAUCUGAAUCAUCAGUACAACCAGCAUGGGGAGUCUUCUGUGAGUGCGUUUGAAGGUUUGAUAGGACCCAUGUGCACAACACCAAAUUUCAGAUUACAUGUGCCCUUUGUCUGAUAAAACAUAACGUCUCUGUU